rnacentral:lncRNA from 10 species
AAAUAAUAAAAAAUGAGAAUACAAAAAUUAGCUGGGCGUGGUGGUGGGCGCCUGUAAUCCCAGCUCGGCAGUGAGCCGAGAUUGUGCCACUGCACUCCAGCCUGGGCAACAGAGCAAGACUCAGUCUCAAAAAAAAAAACAAAAUUAUAAAACAAAUAAAUAAAUAAAAAUAAUAAAAACAUACAAAAAUUAGCUGGGCGUGGUGGUGGGCACCUGUAAUCCCAGCUCAGGAGUGAGCCAAGAUCAUGCCAUUGCACUCCAGCUUGGGUGACAGAGUGAGACUCUGUCUCAAAAAAAAUAAAAAAUAAAUAAAUAAAAAUAAAAAUAAAAUAAAAUCUUUCCCAAGCCCAGGGAGCUUAUUCUUAGAGAAGGGGGAAGGAUAACGGAUUGAGCAGGCAUUCCAAAAAGUAUUACAACACACUUGGUAGACAAGGAAAAACUCUGAGUCCUUUUAAAAGCAAGCCGAACGUCACACAUGGAGAGAUGACUGAGAUGAAAGGACAGCAGGAUAAGUUAGAGGAAAGUUGGAUGAUAUCAAAAAGGAUUGCAGGAAAACUAAAAUUCAAGAAUAGCAUUAAAAUCCAUUUUGGAGGAUGACCUUUAAAAAAGCUUGCCUGGAAUGUGACAAAAAAGAACAGAGUAACAGACGAAGAGGAUCAUAGCAGGCAGAGAACACAAAGCUGGGUCAGAGACACAGUGGAAAUAUCCUUUCUCCCUUUUCUUUUCUUGACAUUAUUUUGGUUUUGUUAGAGGUGAGGCUGGUGUUAGAGAGGCCAAAUUUUGACGAUGAUGAAAAAGCCGAGGGCACUGGGGGGUUUGGGCUCCAACAUCCUUAUUCCACUGAACCACGACCCUCAACUGCCUAUCCCUAGACAUUUCAUUAUGUGAGCAAAAU